AACGAGCGCUGGCGGCAGGCUUAACACAUGCAAGUCGAGCGCCCCGCAAGGGGAGCGGCAGACGGGUGAGUAACGCGUGGGAAUCUACCCAGUUCUACGGAAUAACACAGGGAAACUUGUGCUAAUACCGUAUACGCCCUACGGGGGAAAGAUUUAUCGGAAUUGGAUGAGCCCGCGUUGGAUUAGCUAGUUGGUGGGGUAAUGGCCUACCAAGGCGACGAUCCAUAGCUGGUCUGAGAGGAUGAUCAGCCACACUGGGACUGAGACACGGCCCAGACUCCUACGGGAGGCAGCAGUGGGGAAUAUUGGACAAUGGGCGAAAGCCUGAUCCAGCCAUGCCGCGUGAGUGAUAAAGGCCCUAGGGUUGUAAAGCUCUUUCAGUGGGGAAGAUAAUGACGGUACCCACAGAAGAAGCCCCGGCUAACUUCGUGCCAGCCGCCGCAGUAAGAC
rnacentral:rRNA from 1 species